rnacentral:rRNA from 1 species
CAGUCGCCACGGGAAUACAGAGGGUGCAAGCGUUAAUCGGAAUUACUGGGCGUAAAGCGCGCGUAGGUGGUUUGUUAAGACAGAUGUGAAAUCCCCGGGCUUAACCUGGGAACUGCAUUUGUGACUGACGGGCUAGAGUAUGGCAGAGGGGGGUAGAAUUCCACGUGUAGCAGUGAAAUGCGUAGAGAUGUGGAGGAAUACCGAUGGCGAAGGCAGCCCCCUGGGCCAAUACUGACGCUCAUGCACGAAAGCGUGGGGAGCAAACAGGAUUAGAUACCCGCGUAGUCCCUGUCUCUUAUAC